GUGGGGAAUAUUGCGCAAUGGGGGAAACCCUGACGCAGCAAUACCGUGUGAGUGAAGAAGGUUUUCGGAUCGUAAAACUCUUUUAUUGGGGAAGAAGAAGUGACGGUACCCAAUGAAGAAGUCCCGGCUAACUACGUGCCAGCAGCCGCGGUAAUACGUAGGGGACAAGCGUUGUCCGGAAUCACUGGGCGUAAAGGGCGCGUAGGCGGUUUUAUAAGUCAGAUGUGAAAGGUACCGGCUCAACCGGUGACGUGCAUUUGAAACUGUAAGACUUGAGUACUGGAGAGGCAAGUGGAAUUCCUAGUGUAGCGGUGAAAUGCGUAGAUAUUAGGAGGAACACCGGUGGCGAAGGCGGCUUGCUGGACAGAUACUGACGCUGAGGUGCGAAAGCGUGGGGAGCGAACAGGAUUAGAAACCCUUGUAGUCC
rnacentral:rRNA from 1 species